GACAAACACUAGCGGAAGGGUUGCAGCUGCAAUUCAGCGAGCGGAGAGACAGCCUGUGCAGAUACCAGACGUGGACACAGUAUUCCAGUAGAGGUCGCACCAGUGCCAAAUACAGAGAUGAAAGAACCUGGUGUACUGUUUUCGCAAGACUCAACAGGGCAUCCAUCUUAUUUGCUUGACAGAUUCUUCCAGACUUUGCACAUAUAGAGGUAGCCAGGACAGGGAUUGUACUUCAGCCACUUGGACUGAAAUUUUUGAUGCCAGGUAUCCGCCUCAAGUUGAUUUAUUUAAAAGUUUCAGCUAAAUUAAUUCAGCCAUUUGUAACAGAUAUUUGUAACAGUUUAGCUACCAGUAAG